rnacentral:tRNA from 1 species
GCGCCAUUAGCUCAAUCGGUGAGAGCCACGGCCUUAUAAGCCGUAGGCCCUGGCAAGGUUUUAAUCCCAGUUCGAGUCUGGGAUGGCGUA